AUAUAGUUGCCUUAGGGCCUUAGGAUGAUUAUGAACCUUUGUUUAGAUUCAACACGAGCCUUGUGUUGAAUCUUGGUCUAGGGAUGGUGAUUGAUUUUAGUUACGCGUUUAAUCACAUUAAGGCGUGUUGUCUUAGGGGCGUUGGACCCAACUACUUCAUUUUCAUGCAUAUCAAAUAAAGCAAGAAAGAAGUACUUCAAAGUAAAGGUGAGCUUAUGCUCAUUACAACAUUUGCAUAUAACAAAUUACUUUAAAGUAAAGAAGAGCUUAAGCCCUUUUACAACAUUUGAUCAAAUCAAAUUACAACCAAAAUCUAAUCUACACAUUCCCAUGGUUCAAAACAAAUUUGAAACGGCCUUUCACAUAGCUCAAUUAUAUUAGGCUUAGGUUCAUAAUCACCCUUUAAUUAAUUAACACUUUAACUAAUUAAAUUGAAUGCAACAUUUUCAUUUGGUUUUUGUAUCCAUAAAAUUGAUUUAAAUGGAGCUAAACAAAAUGAAAAUCCAAUUCUCAUUUAAAGAGACAAAACAAUUUUGUUCUCUACCUAAUUUGGGCCAAUAUGCAAUAACCACAACUUUUGGGCCAUAAAGCAAUUAACCUCAACUUUUGGGCUAUAUUGCAAAACUUUUGGGUUCACUUUGUAAAGACACAAAAGUCCACUACUUCAUGUAAUUACAAUAGAACCCAAAAUUUAAUCAAUGCAAAAACUUCAUUAAAGGAUCAAAACAAUUUGUCCUUUAGCGUUUUUGGACCUUAACGUAAAAACGUAAACUUUUGGGCCAAAGUGCAAAUACACAAAAGUAUCAAAACUUUAUGUAAUUGCAUAAAAGACCCAAAAGUACUCCCAUUGAGGGAGGGCCGGUUUUUAGAGAGGGAAAGGGAGUGGAGAUAAGUCCACAAAAAUUUGGAAAUUUUUUCAACAAUUUCAUAAAGCCUUGUAAGUGGUUUUUGGUUGGUGUAAAUCAUAAAACCAUGCAUGUGGUGUGUAAGGUGUGUAAGGUGUGUAAGUCUUACACACCCAUCACAAUUUCUAUCACCUUUCAAAAAUAUAAAUGUUUUGAUGAUAGAUAUUUCACACCAAUCAACACAAAACAAAGACUUUAUGAAAUUAAUCAAAACUUUGAAUCAAAACACCAAAUUUUUUGUUCUUGGCAAAAAUGUCAAGAACAAUGAAGAACAUUCAUGAAAAACACAAAAUUUUUUCAUGAACUUUUUUCACCCAAAAACAUCCCAAAACCAUUCAAACUUUAGGGAAAUAACAUCUAACCAAACUAGGGUACAUUGGGGUUCCAAAAGUCACUUGAAAAUACUUUUAACAAGUCAAACAAGAACCCAAAAAUCCACCCUUUGGAUUUGGCCGAAAAUCCCCAAAGUCAUGGCACUAAAUUUUAGCUCCAAUAUUCAUGCUCAUAUGAACUACAUCUACAACAUUUGAGAUGGCAAAUUUUCUAACAAAAUUUACAUUCAAAGAAACAAGAAUAAAGCUUGUAACAUAUUACAACUUUUAAAUCACAAACUAUGAACUACAAAACCCAAAAGGAUUCACCAACUACUAGACCUAGGCUCUGAUACCACUUGAAGGAAUAUUUUGUGAAAACAUGUUCAUUUAAGCAACAUCAAUAAGCAUGCAAUUAACAAUUAAAGGCGGAAUCAUGCUUGCAUGCACUUAAAAACAAAACAUUAACCAUGAAAUUCAAAGCCUAGUAGAUUGGUGAACCAAAACUCAACUCAAAACAAAGUGAGUUGAAAUUGUACCUUUCUAGAUUCCUCUUUGCAUAAGCAAAGGCUAAUCACCCAAAGAGAGGGCCUUCAUUCCUUGCAUCUAAAAUCUAUGGAUUUGGAUGGAUGAAUAGGUUUCUCCAAGUUCCCAAAAUAGGGAACCUCUAAGUCUCUUCACCAAGGAGAGAUUGGAGAAGAUAUGAGUGACCUUGGAGUAGUAGGAUUGCUAGAUGUACCCUCCAAGGUGACCUUCCUCCUAGAGAGAAAAGGAGAGACAUGUUCUCACCAAUUUUCUCCAAAAAGAAGCCUUAAUGAAUUUUUAGCUAUAAAGUCCUUUAUAUAGUCUCUUCAAAUAAGUGACCUAAAGAACCAAAACCAAUUUUCUCCUUCAUGGCCGGCCACCUAAAGGGAUUUGGGCUUUUGGGCCUUUUUGAAUCUUUAUUCAUUAAAUUGUCAUACAACUUAAGUUAAUGGGCUUGACGUUCAAAGCCCAUUGGGCCUUAAGGUCCAAAACUAUCCCGAGGUUUUUAACGAACUUAUUCGUUUGAUUAAUUAACAUAUUAAUUAAUCCUUGCCAUAAAUAAAUGAUUAAACCAUUUAAUCAUUCUUACUCAUCUCCGUUUAAUCUCCAAUCUCCACCUCUUAUGGUGUGCGAUCCAUUAGGUUCCUUUUAGCGAGGCAGUGGGCGAUUAAAACCAUUUUACAUCGAUUGUGAAUUGAAAUUUACUUUCAAUUCUCCCUUUAGUGAUUACACACGUUUAGGGCUUCCACAAACCAUGAGUGACACCUAGCAGCAUAUCAUGGUUACCCAAGCUAAUCAGAAGAGGUUAGAGAACCUAUUCAGUUUGGGAUUACAAAUGCAAUACGGUCUUUCUCUAAUCUAAUACUCUUGACCACAUUGUUUGGUUUGAUAGUUUAUAUGUUCAUGUCUACUAUCCAAUGUGAUUCGUGUGCUUAUAUGAUUUCCUUGAAUGUGAUUUUUAGAACGACUUUUCUAAAUCUCAUUCAUACUCUGGCCAGAGAUUCUAAAUCAUAUCAUAGAGUAUUCUCCCUCAAACAGUUUGAAGGUUAGAGAUCCCUUGUUGCGCAUUCACUUGCCUCCAUGGCUAAGUGGCUUAACCCCAACGAUGCCGUGGACACCCUCCUGAUGGAGUGACUUUGACAUAAUCAAAGAUCAAGGACUUAACCACAAGACAACUAUGAUGCCUCAGGUCAAAGGACUACUUUGCAUUAUCCCAACCAUGAGUUCUCAUGUGACAUGAGUAUGAGAACUCUUCGUCGAUCACGUUCAGUGAACUCAUUCUCUAUUGAGCACCUACGUACUUGUCUUGAUGUCACACACACCAAUGACUCGAGACUAGUCACUCUCCCUGAGAGAAGACAUAGCACGUACCGAUCUUGACGGACUGUCAAUGCCCAAUUGGCAAUCCUAUGAUCAGGAACAUUUAGGAUGUGUCUACGAAAGAAUGGUCUCACGAAUCUAACUUCAUUAGAUUACAUUCUCCCAAUCACAUAUUCCUUGGACUUUAUCGUUUAAGCAUAUAACAUUUAUAUGAGACGGCUCAAACAAUAAUCUUUGCCCUUUAUAUUAAACUAGAUUAGUUUAACAUGUGAAAUGUACGUAAAGUAUCAUCAUAUGAUUGGCUUUAGGGCACAUUUCCAACACACACCAAGCAAGAACAAAAAUGAGAUGGUUGCUAAGAAGAUAUGGCUACUUCUGGCCUAAUGUGGAGAAAGGUUGUAAGGCUUAUGCUAGGAGAUGUCAAGAAUGCCAAAGACUUGGUCCUCUUCAACAUAUACCAUCAGUGCCUUUAAAUCCAGUUGUAAAACUAUGGCCUUUUGGGAGCUCACUGGCUUUUGGUUCUAUCGGAACUCCAAAGUUAAGCAAGUUCACGCGGGAGCAACCCCAUGAUGGGUGACCCACUGGGAAGUUCUCAUGUGAGUUCCCAGAAACAAAAUCAUGAUGGCGUGGUUGGGGCCUAAAGUGUACAAUAUCGUGCUACAGCGGAGUCAAGCCCAGGAUGUGUUGCAGGCCUAGGCCGGGAUGUGACAAUAAGGUAUAGAAAGGUGGUACGAGUGAAAUCAUCAACAAAUGUGAAAGACAUUUAUGACCAUGCAUUGAUUCAAUUCUUGGUCCCCAAACAUCAGUGUGUACCAUCUUUCUAUAAAUGUCGAAUGGUAGUCUGAAUGACUUUGAAAAAUGACAUGGGAAAUAGCUUUGACAAAACAAGUUCCUAUGGGUGAGCAAGUCUUAGGUGCCACAAUUGUUGAUGUUCAAAAUACUUGAGUUCGGCUUGAAAGGCUCUAGGCAUGACUGAUUUUUUGCACAGGUAGUAGAGACCAUUAAGAAGGAACCCUUCACCAAUCACCUUCAUGGUGAUGAUAUCCUGAAAAAUAACUUUGUUUGGUGAGAAAAUGGCAUGGCAUUUUAGGGAGUUUGUAAUCUUUCCUACUGAAAGUAAUUGGAAAGGAAAUAAGGGAACAUGGAGUGCUAAUGACUAUUUGUGAAUAUACUAGCUCUUCCCUUACCCAAAACUGACAUGUUUUUUCCAUUUGCAACCGACACUAGUGAGGGUUUUUUGAAUGCUUGAAAAUCAUGCAAAUUUGAAAGUUUGUUUGUCAUGUGGUCAGUGGCACCAGAGUCAACAAUCUAACAAUCAUAUUCAGUACUUGUUUGUAAUGUAGUGGAGAAGACAUUGAGUAUACUUGAGGCAUCUUCAUGUGUUGCAGAUUUGUUAUUUGGAAGGAAUCUUGCAAGUACGCAACAAAUUCGUUUAUGAGAGUCACAGGACUUGCAAUGAAGUCGAUGGAUCCAAGAAAGACCCCAGAAGUGAAGUUUGCUGCAUGUUGACUCUUGAAGUGGCGUGCCGGUGAAGAUUUUGAUGGAAUCAUCUUCCCUUCUUUGGUGAAUAUAGACUUCAACUCGGGAAGAAGAAUCCAGUACUUUUCUUCCACAUGACCAACACUAUCACAGUAAGUAAAGUUGAGAUAGGUAUUCUUACCCCUGCAUAUUUUUUGGUUUGUAGCAUAGACUCGAGCUUUAAUUGGCCUUGAGCUGGUCUUACCAUGCAUAGUUUUCUUUCUAGCUUCUUCACGUUGGACAGUAGCACACACACUUUUGAAGGUUGGCAGUUCUUGGCUCAUAAGUAUGUGGCUUAUGAGAUCCUCAUACUCAAAACUUAAGCUUCCCAAAAGUUGGUAUAUCUUGUCUUCCUCACCUUUCUUUAGUAGGAUACUUACAUCUGUGAUGUGUGGAAGAUACACAUCUAGUUCAUUCCACAUAGUUUUGAGGCUGCCAAGAUGUUGUACAAAAGACUUCCCUUCUCCUUGAAUGCUUGCAAUGUCUUUCAUCAAUUGAAACACUCUUGCAUAGUUGUUUUGAUUUCCAUACUUGUCCUUCACCGAGUUCCACAAAUCUCGUGAAGACUCCAUGUAACUGAAAAAUUUUGUGACAUGCUACUUCAUAGUAUUGAGAAGUCAGGACAUGAUGAGUUGAUCCUUGCAGAGCCAAGCCUCAUAAGUUGGUGAGGUGAUUUCAGGAGCUUCGAUGCUUCCAUUUACAAAGCCAAGCUUUCCUUUCCCUCCUAGGGCAAGUGAAACUGCACAAGACCAAGGUAGGUAAUUAAACUCAUUCAGCAAGGCUGAACAUAAACGUUGAUUUGUGUUAACCUUAAUGUCUGAGAAAUUUGAAGGAGAGGUAUGAGAGAUGUCACCCUCAAUAUUUACUGAAUCUUCUUCACCCAUGGCUUAAGGUUGAAGAAGAGAUGCAGCGGAAAAACUAGCUAGAGGCAGGUUACAAAACCUGCUCAGAUACCAUGUUGAUGAAGGAAAUUUUGUGAAAAACAUGUUCAUUUGAGCAACAUCUAUUGCAUGCAAUUAACAUUUAAAGGCGGAAUCAUGCUUGUAUGCACUCAAAAACAAAACAUUACCCAUGAAAUUCAAAGCCUAGUAGAAAGGUGAACCAAGACUCAACUCAAGAACAUAGUGAGUUGAGAUAUUUUAUACCUUUGUUAAUUCCUCUUUGCAUAAGCAAAGGCUAAUCACCCAAGGAGAGGGCCUUCAUUCCUUGCUUCUUAGUUCCAUCGAUUUCUUGGAGGAGGAUUGUAGAAAGGAUUCUCCAAGUUCCCAAAAUUGAGAACCUCUAAUUUUUCCACACCAAGGAGGGACUUGAAGAAGAGAUGAGUGACCUUGGAGGAUGAAAGAUUGCUAGCUAAUCUCCUCCAAGGGGGCCGGCCUCUUUGAGAGAAAGGGAGAGACAUGUUCUCUCCAAUUUUCUCCAAAAGAAACCCUAAGGAUGAAAUGGCUAUAAAGUUGCCUUUAUACCACCUCGCAAUGGAGUGGCAAACUUGCAAUUAAGCCAAGUUCACUACCCCUCUCUAUAUGGCCGGUUUUCCCAAGGCUUUGGGCUUCUUGAAUUUUGUUUGUUAAGUUGUCAUACAACUUAAGCUAAUGGGCUUGACGAUUUGAAGCCCAAUUUGGGCUUUAAGGCCCAAAACUAACUCAAGGUUUAAAACAAACUUAUUCGUUUGAUUAAUUAACAUAUUAAUUAAUUCUUGCCAUAAACAAUUAAACCAUUUAAAUUUCCUUACUCAUCUCUGUUGUUUCUUCAAUCUCUACCUUACACGGUGUACGAUCCAUUAGGUUCCUUUUAGCGAGACAUUGGGCGAUUAGAACUCUUUAGAGAGAAAGGAGAGCUUUGUGUUCUCUCCAAUUUCCUCAAAAAAAACCCUUAAUGAAUUUUGGCUAUAAAGUCAUAUUUAUACCUUUAUUCAUUGGAGUGGCAAACUUGACGUUCAAAGCCCAUUGGGCCUUAAGGUCCAAUACUAUCCCGAGGUCUUUAACGAACUUAUUCGUUUGAUUAAUUAACAUAUUAAUUAAUCCUUGCCAUAAAUAAUUAAACCAUUUAAUUAUUCUUACUCAUCUCCGUUGUUUCUUCAAUCUCUACCUUACACGGUGUACGAUCCAUUAGGUUCCUUUUAGCGAGGCAGUGGGCGAUUAAAACUCUUUCCAAUCGAUUGUGAAUUGAAACUUACUUUCAAUUCUCCCUUUGGUGUUUAUACACAUUUAGGGCUUCCACAAACCAUGAGUGACACCUAGUAGCAUAUCAUGGUUACCCAAGCUAAUCAGAAGAGGUGGAGAACCUAUUCAGUUUAGGAUUACAAUGCAAUACGAUCUUUCUCUAAUACAAUACUGUUGACCACAUUGUUUGGUUUGAUAGUUUAUUCAUGUCUACUAUCCAAUGUGAUUCAUUUACUUAUAUGAUUAUCUUGAAUGUGAUUUGGAACGACUUCCUAAAUCUCAUUCAUACUCUGGCUAGAGAUUCUUAAUCAUAUCAUAGAGUAUUCUCCCUCAAACGGUUUGAAGGUUAGAGAUCCCUUGUUGUGCAUUCACUUGCCUCCAUGGCUAAGUGGCCUAACCCCAACUAUGCCAUGGACACCCGCGAAUGGAGUGACUUUGACAUAAUCAAAUAUCAAGGACCUAACCACAAGACAACUAUGAUGCCUCAGGUCAAAGGACUACUUUGCAUUAUCCCAACCAUGAGUUCUCAUGUGACAUGAGUAUGAGAACUCUUCGUUGAUCGUGUUCAGUGAACUCAUUCGCUAUUGAGCACCUACAUGCUUGUCUUGGUGUCAAUCACACCAAUGGCUCGAGACCAGUCACUCUCCAUGAGAGAAGACACAGAACGUACUGAUCUUAACGGACUGUCAAUGCCCAAUUGGCAAUCCUAUGAUCAGGAACGUUUAGGAUAUGUAUACGAAAGAGAAUGGUCUCAUAAAUCUAACUUGUUUAAAUUACAUUCUCCUAAUUACAUAUUCCUUGGACUUAUCGUUUAAGCAUAUAACAUUUAUAUGAGACGGCUUAAAACAAUAAUCUUUGCCCUUGAUAUUAAACUAGAUUAGUUUAACAUGUGAAAUGUCAGUAAAGUAUCAUCACAUGAUUGGUUUUAGGGCACAUUUCCAACAAUCUCCCACUUGCACUAAAGCCAAUCAGCUUGGUCAUCAGUGAUGAUACCUCUUCUUUAGUCAUUUCAAAAAUGGCUGAGUAGUAGGCCUAGACAAUGGAUAUCUAUAUGUUAUCCAUAGAAGCAACCUUGAGAAUAACGACGUCACCAUUAUACAUGAUUCUUAAUCAUGUGGUUUAGUCUCUCAUUUGAGUUCAGACCUUGAUGAGACCUUGAUUCCCUGGCUUGAGCUAUCGCCCCAUUAGUGUCAUAGUGUCAGUACACUAGAGACACUUUCUGGUUGGAACCGAAUAGAGAGUUCAUAAGUGAACUUUCCCAUCCAAACAACAUUGUUGUAAGCUUCUAUAUGGCAAUAUAUUUUGCUUUCAUAAUGGAACACACUAAAGUCAUUACUUUUAAUGUUUCCAUCCAAAUAUCUCUUUAGUCAUAAUAAAGAGAUAUUUGUUUAUCUCUUUAUUCAUAAUGAAGAAACAUCCAAUGAUGGAUUAGAUUCAUAAUCUAAUACAUUUACGCUUCCACUACGUUACUCCAAUUCUUCCUCAAAUAUUAAGGAAUCUAUCCUUUAGUAUUUUUUAAAUACUUAAGGACUCACUUGACAGUUGCCAUGGUUCUGAUCCUGGGCUUGCACUGAUAUCAUCUUGUACCUUUCUAGGUACAACUUAUAUCAAUGUUUUUCAUACAAUAUGAAAUACAUAAAUCACCUUUCUGCGUAUGCAUAAAGGAUUCUAUUCACGCAUUAUUUCUUUGGGAGUCAAAGGGUACGUUCCCUUUGAGAAGAGCUACCUCCUAGUCUCACUAGAGUUGUUCUUCUGAUCGAAGUUUAUUAUCAUAUGAGAAACUUCCUAGCAUCUUUUGUCUAUUAUUAGGGCUUGAUAUAAUCCAAUUAUAUCUUGAAAUCUAUCAUUAUAGAUUUCCAUCCCAUGUAUAUAGACUAUAUCUCCCAUAUACCUUCUAUCGUUAUAGAAUGUUUAAAUUCAUAACUUUAACGAAGAAGUAUUCUUUUCAUUUCCAAAAUUAAUAUAUCAUAUAUAUAUAUAUAUAUAUUCAAAUUUAGGAAUAUGAUUAACUCCCACUAAUCUUUUGUAAACCUAGUAAACAAAAGUCAUUUACAUUUUUAUGAGAAAUCAAACGAUUUGAUCUUUCUCUCAUAAGACGCUUAUAGCUCCCACUAGCUUGCUAAGAUCCAUGAUGGAUGGAUCUCUACAACUUACAUGUCUUGUGAUUCAUAGUUUUAGACAUAUAUUAUCAAGACUAUCUUAAAAAUGGUUUCGGAAACCCAUAUUAUGUCCAAACAUUGAAUCACCAUUUAGUUGUAGUUAGCAAUCUUCGAAUUAAUUGAAAACAAGACUACGUCAAAGAUGGUUUCUUCAAAGUCAACCAAUCUUAUUGAUUGUAGUCACCUUAAGUUACCAAUUAGCUAUGAAGGUUUCAUUAUUUCGGGUCAAAUGGUACUUUACCAUUUCCUUGAGUAUAUGUCGUAUAUAUACUCAAUGUAGUCAUAAGGAUUUUCAUUCUUAUUUCUUUCGAAUUAAGAGGUGCAACUCUAUGACAUAGUCAUAAGGUUCAAACCAUACAAAGACGGUUUACAAAUCCUUCUCGACUACUUUGGAGCUUGUGGUAUAGGAACUAGGUUGUUAUAUUUGUUGAUUACUAUCUUGUCUCUCAAAGAACCCAUUCUUUGAGUUCUAUCUCUCGUUCAUUUGCGCUUGGGCAAAUCAUAUUGUAGGAUUACAAUGAACUACCCAACAAAACAACAUUUGUUAGUUGGUUUAUAGAAGCGAUAUCCAAAAGUUAAUUUAAGGAUAUCCCACAAGAGUGUUAUCAAACAAAUAUUGCUUAUAAGCACACAACCCCAAAUCUUAACAUGCUUAAGAUUUGUCUUUCUUUCCAACUACAUCUUAUGGAGUCAUGAAAAUUUUGGAAGAUCUUCUAAUUGACAAUCAUAUUGUUUUAGAAGUAUAUAUCCUAUAUAUGGAUAAAAGAUAACAUCCAACGAACUAAAUCUUAUUCAAGUUCAUUCUUCUCCUAAUGGAGAAAUUCAUUAUCUUAUGAUGCUAUUUUCCUUGAUAUCUUUCAAGGAAACUCAUCUAAGGAGGUGAAUACUUUAGACGUCUUACUCAUCAACUUACUUUUCUUGAAUUCUUUGAAACCUUUUGCAAAGUAUUCGGACUUGUGUUUAUUCAAAAUAAAUGACAGUCCAACCGAGAGCGAUCUUCGGUGAAUGUCAUCCAACAUGAGUAGUAUUAUGUUGUGGACAAGUGCCACUAACAUCUAAGUGAAUUAACCUCAACAACUUUGUGAGUCUUUCUUCUUUCAAAAGAAUAAAGAUUCGAACAUUUCGCCUCUAUACAAUUUUAACAAGAAGGUAUUGGAUCCGGAUCUAACGAUCCAAAGCAUCCAUGUACACUCAAAACAAAACAUUACCCAUGAAAUUCAAAGCCUAGUAGUUUGGUGAACCAAGACUCAACUCAAAUCAAAGUGAGUUGAGAAAUUUAUACCUUUGUAGAUUCCUCUUUGCAUAAGCAAAGGCUAAUCACCCAAGGAGAGGGCCUUCAUUCCUUGCUUCUUAGAUCCAUGGAUUUGGAUGGAAGAAUAUGUUUCUCCAAGUUCUAAAAAUAGAGAACCUCUAAGUCUCCACACCAAGGUAAGAUGUGAAGAAGAGAUGAGUGACCUUGGAGGAGAAAGAUUACUAGCUAAUCCCUCCAAGGGUGGCCGGCCUCUCUUAGAGAGAAAGGAGAGCUUUGUGUUCUCUCCAAUUUCCUCAAAAAAAACCCUUAAUGAAUUUUGGCUAUAAAGUCAUAUUUAUACCUUUAUUCAUUGGAGUGGCAAACUUGUAAUUAAAGCAAGUUCACUACCCUUCCUCUAAAUGGCCGGCCUUAGGGUAUUAUUGGGCUAUUUGGGCCUUUGUGAAUCAUUAUUCAUUAAGUUGUCAUACAAUUUAAGUCAAUGGACUUGAUGUUCAAAGCCCAUUGGGCCUUAAGGUCCAAUACUAUCCCGAGGUCUUUAACGAACUUAUUCGUUUGAUUAAUUAACAUAUUAAUUAAUCCUUGCCAUCAAUAAUUAAACCAUUUAAUUAUUCUUACUCAUCUCCGUUGUUUCUUCAAUCUUUACCUUACACGGUGUAUGAUCCAUUAGGUUCCUUUUAGCGAGGCAGUGGGAGAUUAAAACUCUUUCAAAUCGAUUGUGAAUUGAAACUUACUUUCAAUUCUCCCCUUGGUGUUUAUACACGUUUAGGGCUUCCACAAACCAUGAGUGACACCUAGUAGCAUAUCAUGGUUACACAAGCUAAUCAGAAGAGGUGGAGAACCUAUUCAGUUUAGGAUUACAAUGCAAUACGGUCUUUCUCUAAUACAAUACUCUUGACCACAUUGUUUGGUUUGAUAGUUUAUUCAUGUCUACUAUCCAAUGUGAUUCAUUUACUUAUAUGAUUAUCUUGAAUGUGAUUUGGAACGACUUCCUAAAUCUCAUUCAUACUCUGGCCAGAGAUUCUUAAUCAUAUCAUAGAGUAUUCUCCCUCAAACGGUUUGAAGGUUAGAGAUCCCUUGUUGCGCAUUCACUUGCCUCCAUGGCUAAGUGGCUUAACCCCAACUAUGCCGUGGACACCCGCGAAUGGAGUGACUUUGACAUAAUCAAAGAUCAAGGACCUAACCACAAGACAACUAUGAUGCCUCAGAUCAAAGGACUACUUUGCAUUAUCCCAACCAUGAGUUCUCAUGUGACAUGAGUAUGAGAACUCUUCGUUGAUCGUGUUCAGUGAACUCAUUCGCUAUUGAGCACCUACAUGCUUGUCUUGGUGUCAAUCACACCAAUGGCUCGAGACCAGUCACUCUCCAUGAGAGCAGACACAACACGUACUUAUCUUAACGGACUGUGAAUGCCCAAUUGGCAAUCCUAUGAUCAGGAACGUUUAGGAUAUGUAUACGAAAGAGAAAGGUCUCAUAAAUCUAACUUGUUUAAAUUACAUUCUCCUAAUUACAUAUUCCUUGGACUUAUCGUUUAAGCAUAUAACAUUUAUAUGAGACGGCUUAAAAAAACAAUAAUCUUUGCCCUUGAUAUUAAACUAGAUUAGUUUAACAUGUGAAAUGUCAGUAAAGUAUCAUCACAUGAUUGGUUUUAGGGCACAUUUCCAACAAAUGGAACACACUAAAGUCCUUACCUUUAAUGUUUCCAUCCAAAUAUCUCUUUAGUCAUAAUAAAGAGAUAUCUGAUUAUCUCUUCAUUCAAAAUGAAGAAACAUCCAAUGAUGGAUUAGAUUCAUAAUCUAAUACAUUUACGCUUCCAUUACGUUACUCUAAUUCUUCCUUAUUCUUGAGGAAUCCAUCCUUUAUUAUUUCUCAAAUACUUAAGGAUUCACUUGACAGUUGCCAUGGUUCUGAUCCUGGGCUUGCAUUGAUACCGAUCUUGGUACAACUCAUAUCAACGUUUCAUACAAUAUGAAAUACAUAAAUCACCUUUUUGCGUAUACAUAAAGGAUUCUAUUUACGCAUUAUUCCUUUGGGAGUCAAAGGGUACGUUCCGUUUGAGAAGAGUUACCUCCUAGUCUCACUAGAGUUAUUCUUCUAAUUGAAGUUUAUCAUCAUAUGAGAAACUUCCUAGCAUCUUUUGUCUAUCAUUAGGGCUUGAUAUCAUCCAAUUAUAUCCUGAAAUCAAUCAUUAUAGAUUUCCAUCCCAUGUUUAUAGACUAUGUCUCCCAUAUACAUUCCAUCAUUAUAGAAUGUUUAAAGUCAUAACUUUAACGAAGAAGUAUUCUUUUCUUUUUAUUUCCAAAAUUAAUAUAUCAUAUAUAUGUUAAAUUUUUAGGAACAUGAUUAACUCCCACUAAUCUUUUGUAAACCUAGUAAACAAAAGAUUCAUAUACAUCUUUAUGAGAAAUCAAUUGAUUUGAUCUUUCUCUCAUAAGACGCUUAUAGCUCCCACUAGCUUGCUAAGAUCCAUGAUGGAUGGAUCUCUACAACAUACAUGUCUUGUUAUUCAUAGUUUUAGACAUAUAUUAUCAAGACUAUCUUAAUAAUGGUUUCGGAAACCCAUAUUAUGUCCAAACAUUGAAUCACCAUUUAGUUGUAGCUAGCAAUCUUCGAAUUAAUUGAAACCAAGACUACGUCAAAGAUGGUUUCUUCCAAGUCAACCAUUCUCUUUGAUUGUAGUCACCUUAAGCUAACAAUUAGCUAUGAAGGUUUCAUUAUUUCGGGUCAAAUGGUACUUUACCAUUUCCUUGAGUAUAUGUCGUAUAUACACUCAAUGUAGUCAUAAGGAUUUUCAUUCUUAUUUGUUUUCGAAUUAAGAGGUGUAACUCUAUGACAUAGUCAUAAAAGUUCAAACCAUUGAACUGAGACAGUUUAUAAAUCCUUCUUGACUACCUUGGAGCUUGUGGUGUAGGAACUAGGUUGUUAUAUUUGUUGAUUAUCAUCUUGUCGCUCAAAGAACCCAUUCUUUGAGUUCUAUCUCUCGUUCAUUUGCGCUUAGGCAAAUCAUAUUGUAGGAUUACAAUGAACUACCCAACAAAACAACAUUUGUUAGUUGGUUUAUAGAAGUGAUACCCAAAGGUUAAUUUAAGGAUAUCCACAAGAUAAUUCUCAAACAAAUAUUGCUUAUUAGCACACAACCUCAAAUCUUAACAUGAUUAAGAUUUGUCUUUCUUUUCAACUACAUCCUAUGGAGUCAUGAAAAUUUUGGAAGAUCUUCUAAUUGACAAUAAUAUUGUCUUAGAAGUAUAUAUCCUAUAUAUAUGGGUAAUUGAUAACAUCCAACGAACUAAAUCUUGUUUGAGUUCGUUCUUCUCUUAAUGAAGAAAUCCAUUAUCAUAUAUGAUGCUUCUUUCCUUGAUAUCUUUCAUGGAAACUGUUCUAAAGUGUUACCUUUCCUUGGAUCAAAUCUAAGGAGGUAAAUACUUUAGACAUCUUACUCAUCUACUUACAUUUCUUGAAUUCUUUGAAACCUUUUGCAAAAUAUUUGGACUUGUGUUUAUUCAAAAUAAAGGAUAGUCCAACCGGCAGCGAUCUUCGGUGAAUGUCAUACAACAUGAGUAGUAUUAUGUUGUGGGCAAGUACCACUAACAUCUAAGUGAAUUAACCUCAACAACUUUGUGAUUCUUUCUUCCUUUCCAAAAGAAUAAAGAUUCAAACACUUUGCCUCUAUACAAUUUUAACAAGAAGGCAUUGGAUCCGGAUCUAACGAUCCAAAGCAUCCAUCUAUGACCAACUCUUAAUUUAUGUUUUAGAGGUAUCACAACUCAGUUGGGAUUAGUCACUACCUUGCAACCUUUUGGGUUUUAAAUAUUGUUAUAUUCUAAACAGUUAAUACUACCAUAUCAUCUCUACUAUAGAGAUAAUCAAUUAGAUUACAAUAAUCUAAUCAUUCAUUAAUAAAAAACAAUGUUUUGUCAAACAAAACAUUCAUCCAUUUCUCAUACGGAAUUAUGUUCCUUUAUUCAAAUUGGAAUGUAAAGACAAUCUUUGUUUUUCCAUUUUCUUUGGUAGUUCAUAUGAGGAAGUAAGUACUACCUGCUUUCGCAGAGAUCUACAUUUGAUUCACGUUCCGAAUGUGAAGUACUUUCUCUUCUCUCAUUAAUCUUCUACUUCUUAUUAGCCACACUUUUACAACGAUUGUAAAACAUAGUUACUAAUACGGAAUCAAGCAUUCAAGUAGAAGAACCAACUGUUUUGAACUAUUCAAGAACAAUUUACAACACCUUCGAAAGGUGUGUUCUUGGACACUUGCAAGACAUUUCUUGCAAAUACCCCUUCCAAUGUCCAUCCUUUCAUAAAGAAAGUUUGUUCCCUUGGAGUUAUUUCCCUUUCUUCAUUUGACUUCUCCUUUGACUACAAAAGUCAUGGUCCCUAAACUCCCACUUUCUCUCUUGAAACUUAUUUCAAUUGUGUGUUAUACACAUCAAACGAUUUGGAGAGCGUGUGGUUAUUGUUCACUAUAUAGUUUACAAUAAACUUAGUGAGCCAUUUGGAUAGGGACACAAAAGUGAAGUCCUUGCGUAGUUUCCAUCUCGUGAAGUGGUUUAACACUUCAACACUCAAUGAUUCAAAAUCAUCAUAAGUCCAUGUUGAUGGACUAUUUUUGUCAACUAACCAUUAUGUUCUAAACAUAAUUACAAACUUUCAAGAGUUGUUCAAGGCAACUCUCAUUUCUUCAUACAACAAUUUGUAAGUGAAGAAUCAUGGCACAUAAAGUGUCCAUGCCCUUGUGCUUUCUUCUCAUGUUCUUUGUUCACUUAACAAAGAAACAAGCACUAGUGUUUGCAUUAACUAAGGGUUGUUCAAAGCAACUUUUAUUUCUUCAUACAACGAUUUGUAAGUGAAGAACUAUGACAUUAAAAGUGUUGUUCUCUUUAUGAAAGACUUAUCUAACAUGUUCUUCCAACGAUACAUUGUCAAUACGAAGAUUGCGAGGAUGAGACUACAUAGGUACAUAUACAAGCCAUUAAAGACAAUCUAUGUGAUUGUGGUACCAAGUCCGGAAACUAAAGCAUUCGGCUUUUUCUUUGUCAAGUUUUGGAUAGUGUUUGCAAAUAUAUUUGUAAAAUAAAUACAUAACGAAUAUAAAUUGAUUGAUUUUAAGCCAUUUGAUUCGGGUCUUUAAAUCUAAUAGCACCACCCACUAUUUUGGCAAAUUCCAUAUCCCUCAUCGGAAUUCGAGAGUUUUGGAGGAAACUCUUAGUAGGGUAUGGGAGACUCAUCAUUACUAAGCCCACCUCACAAUGAUAUGAUGUUGGCUAGCAUCAAUAAUAAUGAGAGAGUACGCUUACUCAUUUGCAUCUCUUGCAAGUACAAAUCUUAUUUGGCCUCUAGAGAAGGAAGCCUCACAAUGAUAUGAUUAUGGCUCCAUUGCACUUAGUUAAGUCAUUCCCACCGUGCAAAUUCGAGUAGGGGUUCAAGAACAUCCUCACAAUGAUAUGAUGUUGAUCAUUCUCGUUGCCUGCCUUCACAACAUCAUGUAUGCAUAUAGAACUCCUCCUGAGUGUAAGCACUCACUUUGUACUCCCCCAUAAUAUGGUGAAGUCGGUGUACGAGUCAUAAACAAUCGGAGCCUACCACGGUGGAAGGCCACGAAAGAGUGUUCAAAGCACUCUCACGCUUAUCAACUUAAUAAUGGUUUGGUUGAGGGUUUUAGGUCUCAUCACAUAUAAGCAUGCAUUUUAAUCUAAUUAAAAACAAUUUGGUCCUAUUACAACUAUUGGUCCAUGUGAUUGAUUUAGUUGUAUAUAAUACUCCCACUAUGCUUGUAAAACGGUUUUUUAAAGCAAGAGUAUAUGGUACUACUAACAUAAGGUUUGCAUUCAUUGAUGGACUAUAUAGUUGCCUUAGGGCCUUAGGAUGACUAUGAACCUUUGAUUCGGUCCAACACGAGCCUAGUGUUGAAUCUUGGUCUAGGGAUGGUGAUUGAUUUUAGUUACGCGUUUAAUCAUAUUAAGGUGUGUUUUUCCUAUUGGGCGUUGGACCCAACUACUCCAAUUUCAUGCAUAUCAAAUAAAACAAGAAAUGAGUACUUCAAAGUAAAGAAGAGCUUAUGCUCUUUUACAACAUUUGAUCAAAAUAAAUUACUUUAAAGUAAAGAAGAGCUUAUGCUCUUUUACAACAUUUGAUCAUAUCAAAUUACAACCAAAAUCUAAUCUACACAUUCCCAUGGUUCAAACAAAUUUGAGACGGCCUUUCACAUAGCUCUAUUAUCGUAGGCUUAGGUUCAUAAUCACCCUUUCUUUAAUUAAUUAACGCUUUAACUAAUUAAACUUGAAUGCAACAUUUUCAUUUGGUUUUGUUUCCAUAGAAUUGAUUUAAAUGGAGCUAAAUGAAAUGAAAAUCCAAUUCUCAUUUAAAGAUACAAAA
rnacentral:lncRNA from 1 species